rnacentral:lncRNA from 1 species
UCUGCUGUCAUAGUUGUUGUCGUUUGGAGAUUCCGGGACAUAAACAUCUUCAUCGGUUCCUCCACUUCCCCCUGCACUAAAAUUUAAAUUCCUAGCAGCCCUUGACCUGUUUCCAUUGUCUAUGAUUUCUUGUUUCUUAUCACUCCAGAAUUGUUUGCUAUAGGGUGUGAGAUUACUCAAAUCCUUACUCAUAAUAUCCAUAUCAUGUUCAAGAGCCUUUAAUUUUAUUUUUCUUUCUUUCAUGUCUACUUUUUGUUGUUUAAUGCUCACCAAUAAAUCUGCACGUGCUUCUCUUUUGUUUUGAAUAUUUAAGUACUCUUCAUGUUGCUUUUGCAUAAGA